CACCACUCAAGCUUUGCUUGGUAUUAGGCCAUCGUCCCCUCUUCGGGGGGGUCGUGCCCCAAAACCUUCGGCGGAGUCUCAUCGACUUUGGGCGCAGUAGAAUUAUACUCAAAAACGCUCGUGGAGUCCGGUGGAACUUUUGCCGCAAAACCGCGUCGAAAGACACAAUUUCAAA
rnacentral:misc_RNA from 1 species